rnacentral:rRNA from 1 species
AUGAACGCUAGCGACAGGCUUAACACAUGCAAGUCGAGGGGCAGCGGGGGUAGCAAUACCCGCCGGCGACCGGCGCACGGGUGAGUAACGCGUAUGCAACUUACCUAUCAGAGGGGGAUAACCCGGCGAAAGUCGGACUAAUACCGCAUGAAGCAGGGGCCCCGCAUGGGGAUAUUUGCUAAAGAUUCAUCGCUGAUAGAUAGGCAUGCGUUCCAUUAGGCAGUUGGCGGGGUAACGGCCCACCAAACCGACGAUGGAUAGGGGUUCUGAGAGGAAGGUCCCCCACAUUGGUACUGAGACACGGACCAAACUCCUACGGGAGGCAGCAGUGAGGAAUAUUGGUCAAUGGGCGCGAGCCUGAACCAGCCAAGUCGCGUGAGGGAUGAAGGUUCUAUGGAUCGUAAACCUCUUUUAUAAGGGAAUAAAGUGCGGGACGUGUCCCGUUUUGUAUGUACCUUAUGAAUAAGGAUCGGCUAACUCCGUGCCAGCAGCCGCGGUAAUACGGAGGAUCCGAGCGUUAUCCGGAUUUAUUGGGUUUAAAGGGUGCGUAGGCGGCCUUUUAAGUCAGCGGUGAAAGUCUGUGGCUCAACCAUAGAAUUGCCGUUGAAACUGGGGGGCUUGAGUAUGUUUGAGGCAGGCGGAAUGCGUGGUGUAGCGGUGAAAUGCUUAGAUAUCACGCAGAACCCCGAUUGCGAAGGCAGCCUGCCAAGCCAUGACUGACGCUGAUGCACGAAAGCGUGGGGAUCAAACAGGAUUAGAUACCCUGGUAGUCCACGCAGUAAACGAUGAUCACUAGCUGUUUGCGAUACAGUGUAAGCGGCACAGCGAAAGCGUUAAGUGAUCCACCUGGGGAGUACGCCGGCAACGGUGAAACUCAAAGGAAUUGACGGGGGCCCGCACAAGCGGAGGAACAUGUGGUUUAAUUCGAUGAUACGCGAGGAACCUUACCCGGGUUUGAACGCAUUCGGACCGAGGUGGAAACACCUCUUCUAGCAAUAGCCGUUUGCGAGGUGCUGCAUGGUUGUCGUCAGCUCGUGCCGUGAGGUGUCGGCUUAAGUGCCAUAACGAGCGCAACCCUUGCCACUAGUUACUAACAGGUUAGGCUGAGGACUCUGGUGGGACUGCCAGCGUAAGCUGCGAGGAAGGCGGGGAUGACGUCAAAUCAGCACGGCCCUUACAUCCGGGGCGACACACGUGUUACAAUGGCGUGGACAAAGGGAAGCCACCUGGCGACAGGGAGCGAAUCCCCAAACCACGUCUCAGUUCGGAUCGGAGUCUGCAACCCGACUCCGUGAAGCUGGAUUCGCUAGUAAUCGCGCAUCAGCCAUGGCGCGGUGAAUACGUUCCCGGGCCUUGUACACACCGCCCGUCAAGCCAUGGGAGCCGGGGGUACCUGAAGUCCGUAACCGAAAGGAUCGGCCUAGGGUAAAACUGGUGACUGGGGCU